rnacentral:snoRNA from 1 species
GCAAUCAGAAACCAGCUUUUUGGACCACAUUCAAUGACCACAUCAGUUUGGAAAUGAUUGCAAUAAUAAAAUUGAGAUUUUGUGCCAAAUAUGUGACUAUUCAUGCAAGUGACAAGAAUUUGCACAAUGCUUAUACAUU